rnacentral:rRNA from 1 species
UACGGGGGGAGCAAGCGUUGUUCGGAUUUACUGGGCGUAAAGGGCGCGUAGGCGGCCGAUCAAGUCGGGGGUGAAAGCCUGUGGCUCAACCACAGAAUUGCCUUCGAUACUGUUUGGCUUGAGACCGGAAGAGGUUAGUGGAACUGCGAGUGUAGAGGUGAAAUUCGUAGAUAUUCGCAAGAACACCAGUGGCGAAGGCGGCUGACUGGUCCGGUUCUGACGCUGAGGCGCGAAAGCGUGGGGAGCAAACAGG